UGAAUGACGUGCUUGCACUGAUUUCAACAAUGAAGCGAGUGGCGAACUGGUGAGUAACACGUGGGAAAUCUGCCCAGAAGCAGGGGAUAACACUUGGAAACAGGUGCUAAUACCGUAUAACAACAAAAUCCGCAUGGAUUUUGUUUGAAAGGUGGCUUCGGCUAUCACUUCUGGAUGAUCCCGCGGCGUAUUAGUUAGUUGGUGAGGUAAAGGCCCACCAAGACGAUGAUACGUAGCCGACCUGAGAGGGUAAUCGGCCACAUUGGGACUGAGACACGGCCCAAACUCCUACGGGAGGCAGCAGUAGGGAAUCUUCCACAAUGGACGAAAGUCUGAUGGAGCAAUGCCGCGUGAGUGAAGAAGGGUUUCGGCUCGUAAAACUCUGUUGUUAAAGAAGAACACCUUUGAGAGUAACUGUUCAAGGGUUGACGGUAUUUAACCAGAAAGCCACGGCUAACUACGUGCCAGCAGCCGCGGUAAUACGUAGGUGGCAAGCGUUGUCCGGAUUUAUUGGGCGUAAAGCGAGCGCAGGCGGUUUUUUAAGUCUGAUGUGAAAGCCUUCGGCUUAACCGGAGAAGUGCAUCGGAAACUGGGAGACUUGAGUGCAGAAGAGGACAGUGGAACUCCAUGUGUAGCGGUGGAAUGCGUAGAUAUAUGGAAGAACACCAGUGGCGAAGGCGGCUGUCUAGUCUGUAACUGACGCUGAGGCUCGAAAGCAUGGGUAGCGAACAGGAUUAGAUACCCUGGUAGUCCAUGCCGUAAACGAUGAGUGCUAAGUGUUGGAGGGUUUCCGCCCUUCAGUGCUGCUAGCUAACGCAUUAAGCACUCCGCCUGGGGAGUACGACCGCAAGGUUGAAACUCAUAAGGAAUUGACGGGGGCCCGCACAAGCGGCUGCGAGC
rnacentral:rRNA from 2 species